GGGGUGCUUGGCGUACCCUGUAACCUGCAAUAUCGUCAAUAGCAGGGGUUGAAAUUCGGGGGCGGCGCCCUUGAUUUGGUGGUCUUGAACCAGAUGCCAACUAUGAGAUUUCGUCCCUCGGGAUUGGAGGCGGUAUUUAAGUACAACCGGAGGGUUGCACACUUGCCAUUACCAGGGGGAACGGGUCAGGUCCGGAAGGAAGCAGCCCUACCUUGGACUACCAAUGCUCGCGGGGUCGCGGAAUCAAGAAAGCAUUUGGAUAAUCAGCCCCUGGUCAGGCGUCCACCAUGAAUGUGUCCGGCA
rnacentral:SRP_RNA from 1 species